CCUUCCCGCACGCUGAUUGGCCGAGGCUGCCGGGUGAAGCGGACGUUGAUUGGUCAGUUCAAAGUCAGCUGUCAGAGGUAAAUAAGGCGACCAUCAAGAAGGAAAAUCAAGACUACAACACCAAGUGUAAAGACGAUAUUUACAACGAAAUAUUGGACCAGACGAGGGAUGUGUGAUGGCUGUGGACGGAGCGCUGGAGGCACCGACGCUCGUCACCAAGGACAUCCCCAGCAGCUGGGGGAGAGGAUCAACCUUACAAUAGCCGUUAACUGCUGGCACUGUAUGACCAUCAUAUCCUGCUGUUGACUACAAGGGUUGUCUGAUGGUCGCUGACGAAGUGCUGGAGGCGGUGACGCAUCAUAAGACUACAUCCGCAGCAGCAGAGAUGGAGGAUCAACCUUACAGCUGCGGUGAACUGCUGUCUCUGCUACAACCAGCAAAUUCUGCCUUUGUUGACUACCAGGGGUCAGACGUGUGGAGUGAGCAGUCGUGCGUCGAUGAACAGUAAUGUUGGCUCGCUGGUUCUUCCCCGAGUUGUGGUCGUAGUUAUGACUAAGCUGCUGCUACUAACACUAGUGCUGUUGCUGGCACCACCACGACUACUGCCGCCACCACCACUACUGCCACCACCACCACCACCACCACCACUACUACUACUACCACCACCACUACUACUACCACCACCACCACCACUACUACUACCACCACUAGUGUUGAUGUCACCACUACUAGUGCUGCUAAUGUGAGUGUUAUAAAACAAUUUAUUGGGAUCAGUACUUACCGAGAUAGUGGCGUCAGGUUGACAGAGGUGAAUAACUGACGGCAAUGUCGGAGACUGCUGUUCUCUCCUUAAUAUUAUUGACAUUUUUAUUUCGUGAUAUUUUCCUGUUUUAUGGGCUGGAAGACCAGUAUAAUGUAAAUAUAUCCACUCUUUGUAUGCAAGACGAUACCCGCAGUGUCAUUGUAUUUACAAAACUUGUUUACACAAACAAGUAAAAUUGUUGUUUAUUAUUAAUGUUGUGUAAUAUACAGAUGGACCUGAGUUGUAAUUGCGGUGCACCAUGCGUUGGCUCCAUCUUUUUAUAAUUCCAUGUAUAUAUGUAGUCACUGGACAUGGUCCUAGAACUGAUGCAGUCUGUGGAAGUCUUUGAAACAUGGUGUUAUACAAUGCUGCUUUACACUCCUCAUAUAAAACAUGAUGUUAUACAAUGCUAUUUUACAUUACUCUCGUUUUUGUGGGCGUUUUGUUGUAUGUACACAGACAAAACAGCUCUGAGCAAAUUUCUUAUAAGGAGGCAGUUGUAUAAGUAAUCGCCAUGCCUCAAACGAGAGGGUAUUUGGUGAUCAGUUUGUGUACUGUUUUGCAUCGCUGGUGUUACCUGGUACUUGUCUGAUGGCAAACAGUAUUCUCUAUAUGGUAGUUUUUCUGGUUUCUUCUUGUACUUAUAAACAUUGAGCAUGGAAGUGUUCACUAGAUGGAAAAAGUUUAAUGUACCACUCUUAACUCGUGGACAAAUGUGACGUGCAGCAAACCCAAUCUGCAUGUCAUAUUUGUCCAUUGAGCGCAUAUUGAGGGUGUAGUUCACUUACAGCCCUAGGGUUCAAAAUGGGUUCAUUAGUCUCAAUAUUUUCCCUUCCACUAUCUGUUAUUUCGUUGUUUUGAAUUGAUGUAUCGUGACAUCUCGUUCGCCAUGCCACUGUAAUGCCAUAUCACUGGCAACAAACAUCUGCACCUCACUACUACGAUUGCCUGCGUUGAACCUGGGCAUGUUUGAUUUGCACGCACUGUACCCCACACGUCUGUCAGGUUCACCUGCAAGAAAUCACUGAGUAAGGGGCUUGUGUACCAGUUAUCAGUAUAUAAUGUAUGCCCCUUACCAAGUUAGGGUUCCAUCAUUGUUCUCGCUACAUCUCCCGAGAUACCUUAUAACUUCUUGGUAUCCUCCAAUGUUUUACUUUCCAAUAUUUCACUAUCGCUACUUGAAUGGGCAUAAAAGGCAAUAAAAUCAAAAGACCAUGGCACUAUCGUCGCCAUUACUCUCAUAGGAAGCCUGGCCGUGCAAAGAUAUUUUCUUGGUACAGCUGGAUGUAAGAGACUGACCAGCAGCAGAGGUGGAAGGUUGAGGAUCGUCAGGGUUUGCAGCACUAUUUUUCAGUGUUCUUAGAAAUGCUUUCGGUCACAAAUUGUUCAGAACCAUAGAAAUCCUCCUCAGAUCCACUUACAUCCGUGUUAGAAUUGUCACUUGGAAAGAGGAGAUGCAGAAUUCGAUGGGAGUAAGGUAUUUCUUACCACGAGACAUGGUGAACAGCAUACCGAGAUGCAGGGGUGGGGGGACCUUUUUAUUUUUCUGCCAAAGUCCAUUUGGAUGUUUAUAACAUCAAUCACGAGCCAUACAAAAUUAUCAACAUAAAAAUUAGCCUGCUAUAUUUAGUUAAACGUUUAAUUAACUCGCAUAAUGUGAUGGCUGGAACUGCUUCUCUUUGGUGAGAGGGGUGAUGUUAACUAGUACUGAUGUUGCUAUUAGGAAUUGUUUUUCCAGGGUGGCGUCGAACAGUCUGAAUCACAGUCAACUCUUUGCGAUGUAAGUUUUGAAAAGAACUGAUCACGGCAUUGUUCUUUCAAACACAUGCAUAUUUCAUUGCAUGUCGCCUCAAAGUGAGAAAAUUCAUCAUUGAUUAUGUAACGUUUGUAGAACUCGAGUAGUGGGAGGUUGUUGAAGCUAGCUUUCAGGUCAUCGCUUUGCAACUGAACGACUUCUUGUUAUAAGUUAUGAGGCACAUUAAUUAGUUCCACAUAGAGCGGUGUAGAAAAGAUGUUCAAUUCCAUUUGUUUACUUUUCACGUCUCGCUUCAUUGAAUCUUAAAUUAAAUACCUCAACUAGUUUUGCACACUCGCCAAAAUUAGUGUUUUUAUUCUUCCAGAUUAAGGAAAUUCACCUUGUUAUUCCUUCAAGAGUUGCACUUUCCACAGCCUUAAUUUAGCUUUAAAUGAUUUCACUUUCGAUAACAGGGAGCUGAGAAGCUGGAAGGGGCCCUGUAGUUUGAUGUUCAGCGCUGAGAGGAACUUGGUAAAAUCCACCCUGAACGCUGCAUCACACAGCCACUUGCAAUCAUUGAGUUCCUGAGAGGUUUUCCCUUCAUUUCCUUGAAACUGCUUGACUUCAUUCCGCAGCUGGUAAAACCUCAUGAGCAUGUUUCCGCGACACAAACACCGCACUUCACGGUGAUAAAUAUCACCGUACUCAGUAUCAUUCACUACCUCCUUAUACUGGCGUUUAAGUCCUCUUCUUUAGACAUUGUUGAGACACAACGACUAUGCGCAGAGACUUUCUUGGUGUAUGAAACUGAGAGACGAUUCAGUUCUAUUUUACAAAUGUAAUUAACCCUUUUCGCGAGGCAACCAUAGCCUGAGCUCCAUCUGUAGUAAUGCCACGUAACUUUUCAAAAGUAAGCUUUUUUUUUUCAAUAAAACAAAACACACAACCCACACGUAGCAGAGAGGUGCUUACAACAGCGUUGCGGUCCAACUUGCGCCAUUUGCAAAGUCACACUAACAGAGGAGAGAUGGGGGCAGUAUAUAAAGGCCAGCAGACAGGGACGGGACAAGAGGUAGUAGUAGUCUUUUACUGACUCCACUAUUAAUACUGCUCAAACAAGUCCUCACCUCUUGUAGUGCCAUACAUGGCUUCCACUGAGAGCAGUUCCUCUCGCGUGUCAAACUGCCGUUAUCCUACUAACGAAAACGGCCAGUUGGGCAGUAUUUAUGACCGUUGUCUCAUCACAAGACAGAAAAAUUGGAUAUCUGUAAA